rnacentral:rRNA from 1 species
GCGCGAAACCUCCGCAAUGUGAGAAAUCGCGGCGGGGGGACCCCAAGUGCCAUUCUUAACGGGAUGGCUUUUCUUAAGUGUAAAAAGCUUUUGGAAUAAGAGCUGGGCAAGACCGGUGCCAGCCGCCGCGGUAACACCGGCAGCUCUAGUGGUAGCCAUUUUUAUUGGGCCCAAAGCGUUCGUAGCCGGUUUAAUAAGUCUCUGGUGAAAUCCCGUAGCUUAACUAUGGGAAUUGCUGGAGAUACUAUUAGACUUGAGGUCGGGAGAGGUUAGAGGUACUCCCAGGGUAGGGGUGAAAUCCUGUAAUCCUGGGAGGACCACCUGUGGCGAAGGCGUCUAACUGGAACGAACCUGACGGUGAGGGACGAAAGCUAGGGGCGCGAACCGGAUUAGAUACCCGGGUAGUCCUAGCCGUAAACGAUGCGGACUUGGUGUUAGGAUGGCUCUGAGCCGCCCUAGUGCCGAAGGGAAGCUGUUAAGUCCGCCGCCUGGGAAGUACGGUCGCAAGACUGAAACUUAAAGGAAUUGGCGGGGAGCACCACAACGCGUGGAGCCUGCGGUUU